rnacentral:rRNA from 1 species
UGAUAUAGAGCAAAACCCUAAAAACGGUACUCAGUUCGGAUUGAAGGCUGAAAUUCGCCUUCAUGAAGCUGGAAUUGCUAGUAAUGGCAGGUCAGCAUACUGCCGUGAAUACGUUCCCGGGCCUUGUACACACCGCCCGUCACACCAUGAGAGUUGGGAAUACCCGAAGCCUGUGAGCUAACAUAUGAGGCAGCAGUCGAAGGUGGAAUCAAUGAUUGGGGUGAAGUCGUAACAAGGUACC